UGGGACAUCGUCCUAAAGGUUUUGUUUAAAUCUGCAUUUGUCAAAAAUUCGAUUUUUCUAACGAUUUACUCAUCAACCAAGCAAGUCACGCAUGCGCACAUUGGGCAAAAAACCGUGUGACUCGAUUUGGCUUCAGUUUCAUAUGUGUAUAUAGCUCAUCUGUGCACUGCUGUGAUCAUGUAUAAUUACAAAGAUGAUUAUUACAAAAAUUCUGGCUUCUGAUUGGUCAAGCGACCCGGAUUGCGUAAUCCUAUUAGCGGAUUUUUCAAAAUGGCGGCGAGAUGUUUCUGUCACAGUGAGAGGUCCGAAGAUAAAGAAAUGUAGUGACUCUGGUGUACCUGAGACAACGAGAAAAGUGGGGGGAAAAUCGCCUAAAAUUAUUUCGAGUUGAUUAUAUACAAGACGGUUCCUUAGCAUGCCUUGCACAUUCAACAAGAUAUAUCAUCAUUUUGGGGGCUAUUCUUAAAUCGCUUCAAUCUCUCAAAUCUGCUGUGGAUACUAAAAUGCGAGUGUAGGUUAUGAUGGCAGCAACGGAUAUUAUUUCGUGCAUUUCUGCCGUUGGCUAGAAAAAAAGAUUUAGCUACAGUACCUGCAGCAACAAUGCUGUCCCCCAGGACAUGGGUGCCCACAGGAUUGUCGUGGUGGUUCUAAUUCGUAGCAUUCAUAUGCGUUUGGGACGCAUAUUCCCCCAAAUUGGAAGCAUACAUCUUGGAGAUUACCUUCACGUUGCAUCACAACAUACAAAUAUUGAAAACAAAUGGAUUAACCUCAAAACAAAGUAUUUUAAGGGAAUGUGUUUGGGCUGACUGGCCCAAUAAAAAAGCUUCAAAUAAUAGCAGUUUUGUAUCAUAAUGACCUACCUUUGAGUGCAUUUCUUCCAAGCUGCCGAGCACUAGCGCUCGAAACAACGAAAAGUACAAAACAGAAGCAGAUGAUGAAUUUGUUCAUUUUGCGCUAAAUUAAAAAAAAACUCUCGCAACAUUCUCGCGUGUUUGGACCACGCCAUUUAAACACGGAAACCAUUAAGUAAUUGUAUAGUUCCGCAUGUGCAUGUAGGGAAUAUUAUUUAUAAUGCGUGAAAGCCUAGGCGGGAAUCAAAGAUGAGCCCGAUUGUCUACGGGAAAAAAACUGCAGCGCGACAAUGAUGGCUGUCAAAUGGAUGAAAUCCAAGGCAUUUAAUUUCUGUCGUUUCCUAGCAGUUGAUCAUUUUUUUUUCAAAUUUGUCAAUUGUAGCUACAGUGAAGUGAAAAAAAGCUCACCGGCACCGCAUGCCAUGCAUGCAACAAUCUGAGAUUACGGGUCUUUUACUGAUUUAAUAACAAAAUAACUCCAACAGGAGUAUUUAAAAAAAGGCCCUCAUAAUGUGAAUUGAAAUAAGCAAAAAUAUAGAGACAUUUUAUUCCACGGAUUUUAUUGCAAUACUAACAUUAUUCCACAUAAUUUUAUCCAAGCCCUGUUGACUAACUAAUCUCUUUGCCUGCGUAUCUGAGACUUCACCACCUGGAAAACAGAAUUAAUACAAGACGGUUCCUUAGCAUGCCUUGCACAUUCAACAAGAUAUAUCAUCAUUUUGGGGGCUAUUCUUAAAUCGCUUCAAUCUCUCAAAUCCGCUGUGGAUACUAAAAUGCGAGUGUAGGUUAUGAUGGCAGCAACGGAUAUUAUUUCGUGCAUUUCUGCCGUUGGCUAGAAAAAAUAAUUUACAGCACCUGCAACAACAAUGCUGUCCCCCAGGACAUGGGUGCCCACA
rnacentral:lncRNA from 1 species